rfam:Schistosoma margrebowiei strain Zambia genome assembly, scaffold: SMRZ_scaffold0001507
GACCUUCUGAAUUCCUGCUGAGAUUUCUUCAAAAAUCAGACCAUCAGUGCGGAUGAGACUCUCAAGAUAAGUGAGGUG